rnacentral:rRNA from 1 species
AUAUGCAGCCAUAUCACUCUGCAACUUACAACUGGCAACCCACUGAAGGUCAGCAGAUGUGAGCCUGGUCAGUACCUGGAUGGGAGACCUCCUGGGAAAAACUAAGGUUGCUGCUGGAA